UCUGGGACCAGCAGUGACACACGUCAGACAAAGGAUCUGUUUUUCUAUAAAUGAAGGAGAAGUCUGCCCAUUUGCUGAGCUACCAACUAGUUAAUCACUGGCAAGUCUGCCUUCCUCCAGCAGCAACUCUUGUGUGCUCUAUUGUAUAUCUGACUGCAGUGAGCACACUGGGAAACUCAUCUGGUAACAGAGAUUUCUGCAUUUCUUCAUCAUAAGGUUUUCUUAAAAGAGCUGCGGAUUAAAAUGACACGCAAGAUUUUCACUAACACCAGAGAGAGAUGGAGGCAGCAGAAUGUUAAUAGUGCAUUUGCUGAGCUAAGGAAGCUUAUCCCAACCCACCCACCAGACAAGAAACUAAGCAAGAAUGAAACAUUGAGACUGGCUAUGCGGUACAUCAACUUCCUAAUUGAUAUCCUUGGGGAUCAAGAAAUAAGGAAAACUGGAGGAAAUUCUCGAAGAAAUAUUUUAGGUCUGUUUGAGUCAGAACACUCAGGUGUGGAAGACUGGACUGCUAUGGGUCACAGCAAUGACUCUUCCCCAGGGAUGAGCAGUGACACACAGGACUGCUGGUCAUUGGCCCCCUCACCAUAAAGCUGAGAAAAUGGGCGUAUUAUGCGCCAUUUAGGUGUAUGUGCGUUAACCUAUUGUGCUGAAUUAGUUAUGUAAUGGGGACAUAUUGAUAUUGUUUUCAAAUAACUUAUUUUUAAAUACAUGGUUCUAUACAAGCCAAGACUGUCUGACAUACCUGCAGUGAGACAGUUGUCUUAAUAGCAUGCUUUAAAUGUAAUGUUGAUAGUACAGCUCUUAUUAUGGUUCUGUUGUCACACGCUAAAUGCCAUUUCAUAAGGCUGUCUUUGCAGCAGAUGCUUUCAUUGACCACACUGACAAGGUGCAGAACUGGGCAAGCACAAGGAAAUGAUAUUCACAUCAGAGAUCAAAGCUUCCAUUAUACUUGCACCACUUUAGAAUGAACCACACUUAGGUGAUCAGGGUAGCUAAAAAGGGAUGGUCAAAAGAAUUGUGUAUACUUGGCUACCUCAAUUCUUAUUUUCUUAUCUUUCAUAGAUAAGAAAAUUGGGGGGUUCAUAAAUGGAAAUAUUAGAUAUUGCCUACGUAAGCAGCAUUUAGUGGAUAUUACAAUGCUACCUUUUAAAAUAAUCUGGAAGAGGACAUUUGUUGUUUUUGGUAGAUAAGGUACACACAGUGUCCAUGGCACAACAUGCUGGAAAGAGAAAUAGGCUGUAUAUUUUACCUUCUUUAAUUAAACAUGCUUCAGAUGCAGAUUUGUGUCUUGAAAAGACCACUCGUAGAUGGGGAUAUCGGGAGAAGAUCUUACCGUGUAUGGCCACCUUUAGUGUAAAACUUACAAUAGUAAUUUUGAUAAUGUAAAUUAAAUGAAUGAACCUAAAAUAUUUGAUUGAUUGGUCAUGGCCAUUCUCUCGCAGAAAUGCUUAGCAAAUAUAUGGAGGCUGUGUAAAUGGAGAGACUUUUGGUUUAUUUUGGGAGUUGUUUAAUUGUUGAAACACUGGGUCAAAAUGGCAAAAACUUGACCUCCAUUUGUCCUGCCAAUCUGCACUGCCUUAUUGUCAAAUAAGAACUGACAGAAGUGCGCAAGGGCUGUGAAUUCUCACAGGGGCUGUUUUGACACCCAAAGUAAAAAAAAAGCCACCCAAAAUCUCCCAAAUCUCCCUUAAAACUCAACAGCAAGCCCAUAUAGCUGGACUUGGAACCCUCUGAAGUGAUAUCUGUUUUUUGUUCUUCCAUUUGUGAAUAUAUUUUGUCUGCAAAAAUUACUCCUAAUGAAAUAAGACUCUCUAAACUUGUUUAUGUUGAUGACUGGAUUUGAUUUCCACCCGUAUUUAUUAAGAUGAUUUUGUAGGUUGGUAAUAAAAUAAUUGUGAGCUUUUCCAACAUAUAUUUAUAGUUAGUCGCACCAACCAAAGAAUUUUUUUUCAGGGUUUCAAAAUUUGUGAAAUGUAUACUUGUAUUUAUUUGUUAAUAUAUUCCAAUAAAUUAUUGAAUUAUGUUUUUCAUAUAUA